AAGCUCAUGGGUAUAUGUCUAAUUCUGAUCUUGAGAAGGCUAUCAAGGCAUUUCAUGGUAGAUGUGGUCGUAUAUCAAAGAUAUACAGUAUUGGGAAAAGUGUCUUUGGAGUUCCACUGUGGGCGAUCGAAAUGUCUAA